UCAGCUCUUCCGAUCUGUUUACCCUGGACUGCACCCACCCUGGAGAAGACGGAAUCGUGGAUGCGGCCAAUUUUAAGGAGUUUCUUCAAGAGAGAAUCAAAGCGAACGGCGAAGCUGGGAAUCUUAGUG